rnacentral:lncRNA from 1 species
GGGGAGCCUGGUGCGGGACUUGAUCCCAGGACCCCAGGAUCACAACUGAGCUAAAGGCAGACACUCAACCAAUGAGCCAUCUAGGCGCCCCCUUCUUGUUUCUUAACAUAGUUGAUUAUCCCGAUGAACUUCCAUCUUACAGCUGGUUUUGCUGUAAUGCAUAGAUUUGUUCUGUUGUAUUUCCAUUUCCAUCCAUCUCAAAGUAUUUUUGUUUUCUCGAGUUCUUCUUUGACCCUGUGGUUGUUCAGUAGCAUGUUGUCUAAUCUCCACAUAUUUAUGAUUUUCCCAGUUAUCUUUUUGUAAUUGAUUUUUAGUUUCAUACUAUUGUAGUUGAAAAAGAUGCUCAAUAUGACUUCAGUCUUCUUAAAUUUAUUAAGACCUGUUGUCUAGCCUGACAUAUGAUCCAUCCUGGAGAAUGUUCCAUGAGCACUUAAGAAGGAUGUAUAUUCUCUUGGUUUGGAUAAAAUGUUCAGUAUAUCUCUACUUUCGUUUUAUUUUGUUUGAGAUAUUUUUACAUAUAAUAAAAUGCACACAUUUUAAGGGCAUAGUUUGGAGAGUUUUAAACAAAUACAUUGUGUCACUACUACCUGAAUCAAUUACCAUUAGCCUAGAAAGUUACUUUAUGCCAAUUUCCCCCCUUCUCUCCUGCAAGCAAUCACCCAUCUAAUUUCUAUCACCAUAGUUUAGUUUCCCUAUUACAGAACCUCAUCUAAAUGGAAUUAGGCACUAUACUCUUCUGUGUCUGGCUUCUUUUGCUCAAAAGCUAUGGAUAUUUUAUUAUUGAAAGUUGGCAAAAUAUCAAAGAUGACUGAAUUUAAUGGUGUUCAAAAAUAUGGAAUGCUUCACGAAUUUGCACGUCAUCCUGCACAGAGACAAUGCUAAUCUUCUCUGUAUAUUUCCAAUUUUAGUGUAUGUGCUCCCAAAGCAAGCACUGUAUAUCUAUCUCUAUUAAGUCCAUCAAGUCUAAAGUGUCACUUAAGGCCAAUGUUUCUUUAUUUUGUUUAGAUAAUCUAUCCCUUAAUGAAAGUGGAAUACUAAAGUCCCCUAAUGUGCUAUUUGUAAAUCACUCCCUUUAAAUGUUAAUAUUUGAUUUAUAUAUUUAAGUGUACCUAUAUUGGGUGCAUAUUUACAAAUAUUUACAAAUGUUCUAUCCUGCUAUUGGAUUGGCCCAUUUAUUGUUAUGUAAUGUUCUUUGUUUCUUACUAGUCUUUGUCUUAAAGCCUAUUUUGUCUAAUAUAGUAAAUGUAGCUACCCUGGCUUUCCUUUGGUUACCAUUUGCAUGGAAUAGCUUUUUCCAUCCCUUCACUUUCAGUCUGUGUUCUUAUAUCCGAAGUGAGUUUCUUGUAGGUCUUGUUCUUUUAAUCCAUUUAGUCACUGUGUCUUGAUUGAGGAAAUUAGUCCAUUUACAUUAAAAGUAAUUGUUUUUAUAUUUAUAUAUAUAAUUAUAUAUAUAAUCGCCUUAUGGUCAUUUUUUGAAUUGUUUUCUGUUUUGUAAUUACUUUAUUCCUUUCUUUUUUGUUCAUUUGUGAUUUGAUGAUUCUGUGUGUAUGUGGUAUACUGAGAUUCCUUUCUCUUUUAACUACUAGGCUUUUGUGGUUACUAUGAGGUUUACAUAUAACAAGUUUGAAUGCAUUUUUUUAAGUAAUUUUCUAAGAAAGAUUUGUGAGAGACAGCACAAGCAGGAGGAGGUACAGAGGGGAGCAGCAGACUCCCGCUGAACAGGGAGCCCAACAUGAGGCUCUAUCCCAGGACCCUGAGAUUAUGACCCAAGCCAAAGGCAGACACUUAACUUACUGAGCCUCCCAGGCACCCUUGAACACAUUCUUAAGCUAUAUAUUUUUACUCUCUUCCCACCAUAUUGUUUUCUGAUGUCAAAUUUUAUAUCUUUUUGUGUAUCCCUUUUUACCUACUUUUGUCUUUUAACCUUCGUACUAGUUUUAUAAGUAUUAAUUUUUAUCCUAAUUAAGCUUUAUCAGUGUUUUAGUGAUUAUAAUUGAUUUUUAAAUAUUUGGAGAAUUUUUUUUUACCUGUUAUAAUUCUUUUAUAGGCAGGGAACAUCUGUGUAUGAUUCAAUCCUUAGGAAUAUAUAAAAACUCAGCAUUUAAUCUUUCUUGGUGAGUAUUCCAAGUGCACUGUAGAGUUUAUUUCUGGUUCCACAUUUAUUUGAAGACCUUAGGAUUGAAAGCAAAAAUGCAGGAGCAGAAACCAACACAGGUACAACCAACACACAGUAGGAAGACCUGAAUUGUGAUCGGCAAAUUGCCAGAGGCUCAGCAUGGACAAAUCUGAGAAUUAAGCUCUAAGGAACCCAGUCAUAGUGGGGUUCCGUAAACAUUGUAAGAUUUACCUUCAGGAAUAGGUUCCCACAGUAAAUAUAAGAGGAGAACCCAUUGUGUUUCCAACAUUUGGGGUGUAUGUGUUGGGAGAAGGGUGGAUGGAACAAUUUUGAAAUGUAUCAGAGUAUUCAUUUUUAAGAAAGCCUGCCCUCCAAAGAAACUAGUUAACCAGAACCUAGGAGGGCACAUGAUGAGACGUGCACUGGCUGUUAUAUGUUGGCAAUUUGAAUUUAAAUUUAAAAAAAAAAAA